rnacentral:rRNA from 1 species
UACGGAGGGUGCAAGCGUUGUCCGGAUUUAUUGGGUUUAAAGGGUGCGUAGGCGGCCCUGUAAGUCAGUGGUGAAAUACUGCAGCUUAACUGUAGCAUUGCCAUUGAUACUGUAGGGCUUGAGUACAGAUGAGGUAGGCGGAAUUGAUGGUGUAGCGGUGAAAUGCAUAGAUACCAUCAAGAACACCGAUUGCGAAGGCAGCUUACUAAGCUGUAACUGACGCUGAGGCACGAAAGCGUGGGGAGCAAACAGG